UGCCAGCCGCCGCGGUAAUACGUAGGGUCCAAGCGUUAUCCGGAAUCAUUGGGUUUAAAGGGUUCGUAGGCGGGUUAAUCAGUCAGAGGUGAAAUCCCAACGCUCAACGUUGGAACUGCCUUUGAUACUGUUAGUCUUGAGUCAUAUGGAAGUAGAUAGAAUAUGUAGUGUAGCGGUGAAAUGCAUAGAUAUUACAUAGAAUACCGAUUGCGAAGGCAGUCUACUACGUAUGUACUGACGCUGAUGAACGAAAGCGUGGGGAGCGAACGGGAUUAGAUA
rnacentral:rRNA from 1 species